rnacentral:rRNA from 1 species
UGCUCAAAUCUCAGCCCCCCCCCCCCAAUUAUUGACAUUUUUUACUCAACUUAUAAACAUCAAAACAUUUUUUGACUCUAGUAAAGGCGAUUGAAACAUCUGUUGGAGCUAUAUUGAAAGUACCGCAAGGGAAAAUUGAAAUAAAAAUGAAACAACUAUUAAGCACAAAAUAGUAAAGUUUAACUCUUGUACCUUUCGCAUCAUGAUUUAACUAGUCUAACCAAGCAAAAUGAAUUUAAGUUUGCCCCCCCGAAACUAAACGAGCUACUUCAGGGCAGCUUUAUGAGCCAACCCAUCUCUGUUGCAAAAGAGUGGGAAGACCCUUAAGUAGAGGUGACAGACCAAACGAGUUUAGUGAUAGCUGGUUACUUAAGAAACGGAUUUUAGUCCAACCUAAAGAUCUUCUAAUAUUUAAAAAUAAAUAUUUAACUUUAGAGUAAUUCAAAUAAGGUACAGCCUAUUUGAAACAGGAUACAACCUACACAAAUGGGUAACUAAAUUAACCCAUAAUAAAGUGGGCCUAAAAGCAGCCAUCUUCAAAAAAGCGUCAAAGCUUAAUCAUUAUUUAAUUAAAUUUCUUUAACCUCAUAAAACCCUUAAUCAAUACUAAGUAAUUCUAUAUGUUUAUAGAACUUAUUAUGUUAAAACUAGUAACAAGAAGAAGAACUUCUCCAAAAUGUAAGUGUAAAUCAAAUCGGACACACCAUUGAUUCUUAACACCUAUGAACUUAAAGUAACAACUAAUCAAGAAAACCUUACUUUCAAAUAUGUUAAUCUAACACAAGAACAUUUCAAGAAAGAUUAAAAGAAAAAGAAGGAACUCGGCAAAUAUUAACCUCGCCUGUUUACCAAAAACAUCGCCUCUUGAAUUCAACCCAUAAGAGGUCCAGCCUGCCCAGUGACUUUGUUCAACGGCCGCGGUAUCCUAACCGUGCGAAGGUAGCGUAAUCACUUGUUCUUUAAAUAAGGACUAGUAUGAAUGGCAUCACGAGGGUUAUACUGUCUCCUUUCUCUAAUCAGUGAAAUUAAUCUUCCCGUGAAGAAGCGGGAAUAAUUUUAUAAGACGAGAAGACCCUAUGGAGCUUCAAACUUUCGCAACAAUUGUUACUAUCUUAAAAAAUCCAAGGAUAACAAAAACUACACUAACUCUAUGUUUGCUGGUUUUCGGUUGGGGUGACCGCGGAGUAAAACUUACCCUCCACGAUGAAUAGGUCCUUACCUUAAGCAAAAAACUACAAUUUUAUGCAUUAUUAUAUUAACACUAUUGACCCAAUUUUUUGAUCAACGAACCAAGUUACCCUAGGGAUAACAGCGCAAUCCAUCUUGAGAGCUCUUAUCGACAGAUGGGCUUACGACCUCGAUGUUGGAUCAGGGUAUCCCAGUGGUGUAGCCGCUACUAAGGGUUCGUUUGUUCAACGAUUAAAACCCU